CAGGCAGAGAGAGAGAGAGAGAGAGAGACACAGGCAGAGAGAGAGAGAGAGAGAGACAGGCAGAGAGAGAGAGAGAGAGAGAGAGAGAGACACAGGCAGAGAGAGAGAGGCAGAGAGACACAGGCAGAGAGAGAGAGAGGCAGAGAGAGAGGCAGAGAGAGAGGCAGAGAGAGAGGCAGAGAGAGAGGCAGAGAGAGAGAGGCAGAGAGAGAGGCAGAGAGAGAGAGGCAGGCAGAGAGAGAGAGAGAGACAGGCAGAGAGAGAGAGAGAGAGAGGCAGAGACACAGGCAGAGAGAGAGAGAGAGGCAGAGACACAGGCAGAGAGAGAGACAGAGGCAGAGAGAGAGAUAGAGACACAGGCAGAGAGAGAGAGAGAGAGAGAGACACAGGCAGAGAGAGAGAGAGGCAGGCAGAGAGAGAGAGAGAGGCAGGCAGAGAGAGAGAGAGAGGCAGGCAGAGAGAGAGACAGGCAGAGAGACAGAGAGAGACAGAGACAGGCAGAGAGAGAGAGACAGGCAGAGAGAGCAAGAGAGAGACAGGCAGAGAGAGAGAGACAGAGAGAGCGAGAGA
rnacentral:lncRNA from 1 species